rnacentral:rRNA from 1 species
AUGGACCUGGACGGCUUCCCACUUGACCACGAGUUUUCGGAUGACUACGGGCAAAAGGAAGAAGACGAGUGCGACAGCGAAGUGGAGCCUUUGUUUGAGGACGAGCUCGCCAACCAAGCCGCCGAGCCAAAGCCGAAGUGCAAGAACAAGCGCACGAAGGCGGCCAAGGACAAACUUCUUUGCGAGUGUUGGAGGGACAUUGGACAAGACCCCAAGACCGGGGCCGAACAAAAGCAUUGAACUUUUUGGAUUCGUGUCCACUGGGAGUUUCAUGAGCGCAAGAAGUUUUCUUCUUAUCAAAUUGUGAGCACGCGUGGGUGGGUGUCCGUUUCAAAGCGAUGGAGAGUGAUCCAACAAGAGUGCAACAAGUUUUGUGCCACUUUUGAGAGCGUCAAGACCCGCCCCGUUAGUGGCAUCGGCAUGCAAGACAUGGUAUGGUAG